AGGAGAGCACUGGAUUCUUCCCAGGAGAGGAGCGGGACGGAUGGCAGUAGGAUACUGAAUUCGCAGAAGACAACUUGGUUUCAGGGAGGGCCUGGCUCACCAGCUCCACUCACUCACUCAUUCACUCACUCAUUGUCUCAUUCAUUCAUUCACACCCUCAUUCAUUUAUUCAUUCUCAUUCAUUCACUCUUUCACUCCCUCCUUGCCUCAUUCACUCUUCACACAUUCAUUUAUUCACUCUCAUUCAUUCAUUCACUCAUUUAUUCACUCACUCAUUCAACCAUAGCCUCAUUCAUUCACACACUCAUUCAUUUAUUCACUGUCUCAUUCAUGCACUCAUUCAUUCGCUCUCUCAGUCAGCAAGCAUUCUUUUAUUCACUCACUCAUGCACUCAUUCAUUCACUCAUUCAUUCAUUCAUUCAGGAAAUGCCUCUGACUCAGGUGUGAGACUUCAACAGAGACUUCUCUGAGCCUCAGCUUUCUUAUUCAUGUAACUGAAUACUGGUAAUACUCACACCAUCAUUUUUUUUUUUUCAGGAGGAUCAUCAGAGCAUGUGGCAGUGCUUUCUAAGCCAUGAAGUGCUUUGCAAAUGUGGUCUUUUUAUCCUUUGGCCUGUGUAUUCAGCCAUGGUCUAAGUCCAUGGUCUGUCUUUUCUAAGGGCUGAUGAGCCCCUCUUGGAGGACAUUUCUGAAACCACUGCCCAGGUCAUCCUUGGCACCACGCCCAUUCCUGUGGAGUGAAAGCCGGGUUCUGAAGCAAGCUGGAAGAGAGACUAUCUGCCAGGUAGAUGAUCGCUGCUGCCCGCUGCUGGACCAAGGUCUUGCUGAAUCCUCGCUGCUCUCCUAGACGCAUCCAAGAUUGCCUCCUUCCAUACCAAGGGCUUAU